rnacentral:rRNA from 1 species
CCGUAUUUUGACUUUUGUCGACUGUCGGUUUCGCUUUUGGGAUUUAUCCCUUUUUACUUUGAGAAAAUUAGAGUGUUUCAAGCAGACUUUUGUCUUGAAUACUUCAGCAUGGAAUAAUAGAGUAGGACUUUGGUUCUAUUUUGUUGGUUUGUGAACCUUAGUAAUGGUUAAUAGGAACGGUUGGGGGCAUUCGUAUUUAACUGUCAGAGGUGAAAUUCUUAGAUUUGUUAAAGACGAACUACUGCGAAAGCAUUUGCCAAGGACGUUUUCAUUAAUCAAGAACGAAAGUUAGGGGAUCGAAGACGAUCAGAUACCGUCGUAGUCCUAACCAUAAACUAUGCCGACUAGAGAUUGGAGGUCGUCA